UAGUAUAUGUUUCAGUGUGUCUGUGUCCGC
rnacentral:piRNA from 1 species